rnacentral:lncRNA from 1 species
CGUGCGCGCUGAGACGCGAGGGCUUAUGGGUAGCGGGAGCGCUAGGGGAAGCCUGGCCGGCGUCGGGCCCCCGGGGGCAUCCGCGAGCUAUCGGCGGUUGGACCGGCGGCUCUCGGUGGGGUUCCGGACGCGGAUCUGGCGCCGAAUUCUCACGAGACCUGAUACCUUCCUUAUUUGUAUAUUCUCUUACUUAAAAAGCCAGAUGUCUUUUUUUUUUUUUUCAUUGAAAAGAGAAAAUUGACAAGGUAAACGGUCGUUUGGAGGGGCCACCUGGGGACGCGGCCCGAGCCCUGGCUCUACCUGAAGAAUAUCUUCUAUUUGCCACACUUCCUCUCCCCGUUUCCUUUCUUCGCCCCUCUCCUCUUUCCCCUUCCCCUCGAAGGUAAUGAGAACUACUGGACCGAUUACGCUAACCUCUUGGCCCUUUGUCAAAAAAUGGAGCCAAAAAGGUUGAUUUAGACAGACCCCCUGCUCAGUGCAGCACCUGUUAUUCUCUGUAUUUAUAUUACCAAGGGCCUUCGGUAAAUUAUGAAAAAUAGGAUGCCACCUGGGACAACACUGCUUAGACAGCACUGGAAGACCUUUAUAAAUAUACUAGGUUGCUUUUCUCCAAUCAGCCUAGCCUUGAUUUGAAAUUCAUUUUUAUUUUUUUUGAGACGGUGAAAUUCAUUUUUAAAAGAUAGUUUUAACCUCAGCGAUCUCUGAUGUUUGCGCUAAUACCCUUUUAAAGGCUUUCAGAAAUUUUAAAGAAUUGCUAUGAAAGGAAAAGUAACAUUCUAGUUUUUCUCUGUAAAAGAGGUUCACAAACGGCAGAUCGCUGUUAUGAAAAGGAGGGGUGGAAGUAUUUAAGGAAUUGUGGCAAACAAAGUCACAGAAGAAUGGAUAUAAGCAAAAGUAGCACACUGAAAAAAAUGGGGAAAAGUGGAGUCUAGAUCACAAACUGGUAAGCUUGGUGAUGUUCUCUAGCCAAAUUCGAAGGUAAUAACAUUGUAUUAUGGCUUUCUGUUUAAAAGCAGUUUCGCUUAUUUGAUUAUUCAACAAAUCUUUAUUAACACGCAUUACGUGUACCAGAAACUGUGGUACACUUAACUGUGGAGCUGGGGAAGCAAAAGUGAACAUGCCGCCUUAAGUGAGUUCAGAUGGCUUAUCUUCCGGUUGGGGAGGCAUCAAGUACACAGGUCCGUUGUAAACCAGUGUCUUAAGUGCUAACCUUAUCACAUUUGCUAUUAGAGGAUAUUAAACAUGUCAGACUUCUUGGAGAAAGUUGAUAUUUUCAUGUUCCAAGUUUGGGAACAUCAUUGAAUUCAGACAGAUCUGGAUUGAAACAGAUUAAAGUGCCUACACUUUAAUA